CCUACGGGUGGCAGCAGUGAGGAAUAUUGGUCAAUGGUCGGGAGACUGAACCAGCCAAGCCGCGUGAGGGAUGAAGGUACAGAGUAUCGUAAACCUCUUUUGUCAGGGAACAAAGGCGGGGACGCGUCCCCGGAUGAGUGUACCUGAAGAAAAAGCAUCGGCAAACUCCGUGACAGCAGCCGCGGUAAUACGGAGGAUGCGAGCGUUUUCCGGUUUUAUUGGGCUAAAGGGGUGCGCAGUGGGGCUGUUAAGCUAGCGGCAAAAGCCCGGGGCUAACCCCCGGCCCGCUGUUGAAACUGGCAGGCUCGAGUUGGAGAGAAGUAUGCGGAAGGCGCGGUGUAGCGGUGAAAUGCAUAGAUA
rnacentral:rRNA from 1 species